rnacentral:rRNA from 1 species
UUGUUACGAGANCGAUAGCGAACAAGUACCGUGAGGNAAAGUUGAAAAGAACUUUGAAGAGAGAGUUCAAGAGUACGUGAAACCGUUCAGGGGUAAACCUGUGAAACCCAAAAGAUCGAAUGAGGAGAUUCAUCGUCAGCGUAAUCAGUAUUAAUGCAGGCUAUGAUGUGAUAAUAGAAUCCUCGUGGUCACUAGAUUAUACUUGCUUGUGUUAUUUUUGCUGGGUGUGUCGGCGUGCACUUCUCCUCUAGUAGAACGUCGCAACCCGUUGGAUGUUUAUCUAUGGCCUGAUUGGUAGCCUUUGAUAUAAUUUUAUAUUGGAGACCUUUUGGNGUCCUGAUAAACUGUCUGACGNNAUACAUUANANUAUUGNGCCNNNNNUNUUUGCGUUANACUUA